CUCUGAUUAAAUAACAAUAUGGUUUCAUAGAUCAUAAUUAAUAAUUAAUUGUUAUCAAUCAAAAAUACUUGAUGAGAAUAGAAAUCUCUUUAUUAAAAGUAUUAUAUGGUUGUUGUUCUUUUUUUAUUUCAAUCAACCCAAUGUGGUCAGCACUCUAAAUUCUGUUAAUACUUAAUCAUUUCCAUCCACAAACGGUGGUUAAAAAAAUCUUUUUAACAGUCAGGGAUAUAACUCUUUAGGGCUAUUAGAGAAAAUAUCUGUCAUGUGUUAUUACAGAUACUUUAAUGAGUUGUCUACUCUUUAUUCCUUAAAUUUUUUAAAUCGACAGUAACAUAUGUUUGUUCUUCGUUAAAUAAAUGAUAAAUUUUCUAAUUUUUUAGUGGGCAUUUGGAAAAUCUUGAAACUUUGUGUAGAAACUAAAUACAUAAUUUUUAACAAAUUAAAUUAAUGAGACAAGGCUUAUAAAAGAUACACCUACACGACCUAGCUGUCAUAACUUGGCUUAGUUAUUAAAGGCAUGUAACUUAUUAUUUGACACACUUGGGAAUUACUGGGAAGCUUGUGCAGAACCUUAUUACAUGUUCUGAUCAUAAUUUCUUAGAAUUAAUCAAAAUACAUUGUGA
rnacentral:lncRNA from 1 species